ACGAACGAGGUUGGUGCAGCGAUCGCGUAGGUUCAAGCCCUGCCGAGGGUGCCGAUGCGGCAACGGAGAUCGUUCCGUGUUGUCGACCGGAGGCAGUGCCGUACUCCUCGUGAUUGCGUACCAGCAGCGGUUGGACCGGGGCCACAAGGCAGCAGCGGAAGGUGAGUYGAUGCGAGCCAGUCUUGCAUUGACAGCUUAUAGCCCUGCUGUGCGGUGCUCCGGCGCGACCGAGGAAGCUGGGCAGCCCUUGCCCAUYGUGGUGCACGCUGUACGGCGGGGCCUCCCAACACGAUUGAACCGUGCGGUGUGGACUGCAUGCAGUGCUCACCGUUGCUGUGAUCUCGUGUUGGUGAGUGCCACUAGUGUGCCAGUGCUGCUGGUGUUCAGAUGGCCUCGUCCGA
rnacentral:rRNA from 2 species